rnacentral:rRNA from 1 species
ACUCCUACGGGAGGCAGCAGUGGGGAAUAUUGGACAAUGGGCGAAAGCCUGAUCCAGCAAUGCCGCGUGAGUGAUGAAGGCCUUAGGGUUGUAAAGCUCUUUUACCCGGGAUGAUAAUGACAGUACCGGGAGAAUAAGCUCCGGCUAACUCCGUGCCAGCAGCCGCGGUAAUACGGAGGGAGCUAGCGUUGUUCGGAAUUACUGGGCGUAAAGCGCACGUAGGCGGCUUUGUAAGUCAGAGGUGAAAGCCUGGAGCUCAACUCCAGAACUGCCUUUGAGACUGCAUCGCUUGAAUCCAGGAGAGGUGAGUGGAAUUCCGAGUGUAGAGGUGAAAUUCGUAGAUAUUCGGAAGAACACCAGUGGCGAAGGCGGCUCACUGGACUGGUAUUGACGCUGAGGUGCGAAAGCGUGGGGAGCAAACA